AUGGUACUUCACAAAAUAUUAUAUUAAAAAAAAAUCAGAUUCACGUGACAAACACAUUUCACAAGAAAUUGUUCUGUCCAAAGUAAAGUGUUGAAUUGUAAAAGUUUAGUGUUUAUAAUAUUACUUUCUAAAGCUCUUUCUCUCUCCAUGUCUUUGUAGAUUUUUAACUUCUCUUCAAAUGAGAAAAUUUAAUCAAUUCUUGAUGAAAUUUCAAGAGAAAAAUCAUAGAGGAGCUCAUAUUGGAGUGAUUUUUGCUCAAAUUAUGUCAAAUUUUGAAUUGUGUUAUCCAGUUUUUUAUUCGAGGCAGAGGUAUACUUUCUUUUCGUCCCUCUUCCAUCUUCUUUUUACAGGCUUCGAUCAAGUUUUUUAUUUUUGAAUUCUGUUAUUUUUAUCUAAUUUUUUUGAUUAAGCUCUGAAAUUAGUGUUUUAUCUGAUUUGAUAUCUGAAACUUUUUCUUACAAAAAAAUUAUGAGUUCAAGAUUAAGGUGGGUAAAAUUGCAGUAACAAUUAGUAUUGGCUUUUCAACUUUAGAAUUAAUCAUUUUCUGCAAUAUGAAUGGUGAAAUCUAUGAAUUAAUCAUAGUCUUCUUUAUAAUUUUGAAUUGUUGUUGGAGCUGAAAGAAGUUAAACAAGUGACAACCUAAAUUGCUCUUUGUCUCUUCAAAAAUGUCAAUUAGAAUCUCCUACAAUCAUGUUUGUCGACCAAGAUGGCAAGACCUGUAUGUUGUAUACAUAGCUAGUCAUAAACCUCAACCUAUACUAUGUUUCUCCUUAGUUACUCAUGUAAUUAAGAGCAAAAUAAGACUUGGCGUAUUGAGAGAAAGGUGGGCCUUGAAAAAACUAAUUUGUUAUUUGGCAGUGAAAUAUGAAGGUACAUCCAAGAAUAUGUUUAUUGUGAAAAUGUGUAGUAAUACCAACUCAUUAAAGUGAUGAGAUGCAGAGAUGAACUCACUUGGAGUCGAUAGGCCCUUGGGUAACACACCCAAACAUGUUCUUUGCUAUUACAAGCUUCCCGAAUCUUAUAUGCAAAAAUGGUAUCAAAUGAAAGUUGUGUUAGCCUUGAUAAAUGAUAUGGCAGUUUUGGCCGAUAGAGUCGUUUAGAAUUCUUUCGUAUUUUAUUUUAUUUUUCAAUUAUCGGUGCGCCCCUAAGAAUACUCUUUUAUGCUACAUUGAAAUGGACAUGGACGGAAUCACUAUCCUGUACACUGAGCCUUCUUUUGGAGAGUAAGUCUUGAAAGAGAUCGUGCCCCUUCCCUCCAUAUUAGAGAGGCAUGAUUGUACUUCGUCAUGGAAGGCUGCAUCUUCGCCAAAAGCUUAGUUGAAAUGGGGUUAAUCUAGUUAACAUGCACCUAUUGUUUGAGUAUAUAUGCCCAAAUGAUGUGAUGAAGGUUUGGUGAGUGUUUGUAAUAACUUUUAGAAAGAAUUGCAACAGAGAUAAGGUGGUUACAUCUCUCUACAUGAACAUUUUAUAGAGAUCUCCACAAGCCUGCUCUCGUAAUUGAAGGACGCUUUGUAUUAGUGGUGUAACAAGAGGAGUUGCUAAAUUGUGUUCUCAUAUAAGAGGGGAUGCAACUAAAGAGAAUAAUUGCUCAUCAAUCAACAAAUAGUAUGCCACUUUCAUCAUUGUAUUAGAGGAUUGGCAUCCUAAUGGAAGAAGGGAGGAGGGCUGAAUAUGAUUGUGUAUGAGAAAAGAUGUUAUGGAACGAUUUGUGAACUUCUUCAUAUUUUUAGGUUUUGCUUUCGGUAUAAAAGUGUUUCUUAUUGUGAAGUGCCAUAAUUGCCCUUGACAGAAAUAACAAAUCUGUUUGUAUUGGUUA